UCUGGUGGUAAUGGCGGAGGGGUCACACCCGUUCCCAUGCCGAACACGGAAGUUAAGCCCUCCAGCGCCGAUGGUACUGGGUUUGUCCCGGGAGAGUAGGUCACUGCCAGAA
rnacentral:rRNA from 1 species